CCUACGGGAGGCAGCAGUAGGGAAUUUUCGGCAAUGGGGGGAACCCUGACCGAGCAACGCCGCGUGAGCGAAGAAGGUACUCGUAAUGUUAAGUUCUUUUAAUAGGGGAGCAAGAGAAAUUUGACGGUACCUGAAGAAUAAGCUCCGGCUAACUAGGUGCCACCAGCCGCGGUAAUACGUAGGCAGCGAGCGUUAUCCGGCAUGAUUGGGCGGAAAGGGUGCGUAGGUGGCAUAGUAAGUCUUUUGUAAAAAUGCGGGGCUAAACCCAGUAGGGCAAAAGAUACUGCAAAGCUAGAGUAAGACAGAGGCAAGUGGAACUACAGGUGUAGCGGUAAAAUGCGUAGAUAUAUGUAAGAACACCAGUGGCGAAGGCGGCUUGCUGGGUCGAUACUGACGCUGAGGCACGAAAGCGUGGGGAGCGAACAGGAUUAGAUACCCGGGUAGUC
rnacentral:rRNA from 1 species